AGGACGAACGCUGGCGGCGUGCCUAAUACAUGCAAGUGGAACGCAAUUGAUUCUCCCGUAGCUUGCUACAUUUGAAUUGAUUGAGUCGCGAACGGGUGAGUAACGCGUAGGUAACCUACCUUAUAGCGGGGGAUAACUAUUGGAAACGAUAGCUAAUACCGCAUAAGAGUUGACAACACAUGUUGUUAAUUUAAAAGGAGCAACAGCUUCACUAUGAGAUGGACCUGCGUUGUAUUAGCUAGUUGGUAAGGUAACGGCUUACCAAGGCUUCGAUACAUAGCCGACCUGAGAGGGUGAUCGGCCACACUGGGACUGAGACACGGCCCAGACUCCUACGGGAGGCAGCAGUAGGGAAUCUUCGGCAAUGGGGGGAACCCUGACCGAGCAACGCCGCGUGAGUGAAGAAGGUUUUCGGAUCGUAAAGCUCUGUUAUAAGCGAAGAACGGGAGUAAGAGUGGAAAGUUACUCUGUGACGGUAGC
rnacentral:rRNA from 1 species